CCUACGGGCGGCAGCAGUGGGGAAUAUUGGACAAUGGGGUGAACCCUGAUCCAGCGACGCCGCGUGAGUGAAGAAGUAUUUCUGUAUUUAAAGCUCUAUCAGCAGGGAAGAAAAUCACGGUACAUGACUCAGAACCCCCGGCUAACUACGGGCCAGCAGCCGCGGUAAUACGUAGGGGGCAAGCGUUAUACGGAUUUACUGGGUCUAAAGGGAGCGUAGGCGGAUUUUUAAGUCAGCGGUAAAAUGUCCGGGCUCAACCCGGGUCGGCCGUUGAAACUGGGGAUCUUGAGUGGGCGAGAAGUAUGCGGAAUGCGUGGUGUAGCGGUGAAAUGCAUAGAUAUCACGCAGAACUCCGAUUGCGAAGGCAGCAUACCGGCGCCCGACUGACGCUGAGGCACGAAAGCGUGGGGAUCGAACAGGAUUAGAUACCCGAGUAGUC
rnacentral:rRNA from 1 species